UGAGGAAUAUUGGGCAAUGGAGGCAACUCUGACCCAGCCAUGCCGCGUGCAGGAAGACUGCCCUAUGGGCUGUAAACUGCUUUUAUACAGGAAGAAACACUGCUACGUGUAGCAGCUUGACGGUACUGUAAGAAUAAGGACCGGCUAACUCCGUGCCAGCAGCCGCGGUAAUACGGAGGGUCCGAGCGUUAUCCGGAAUCAUUGGGUUUAAAGGGUCCGCAGGCGGUCAAUUAAGUCAGAGGUGAAAUCCCAUAGCUUAACUAUGGAACUGCCUUUGAUACUGGUUGACUUGAGUCAUAUGGAAGUAGAUAGAAUGUGUAGUGUAGCGGUGAAAUGCAUAGAUAUUACACAGAAUACCGAUUGCGAAGGCAGUCUACUACGUAUGUACUGACGCUCAUGGACGAAAGCGCGGGGAGCGAACAGG
rnacentral:rRNA from 1 species